UACGAAGGGUGCAAACGUUGCUCGGAAUUAUUGGGCGUAAAGCGCACGUAGGCGGCUUUGCAAGUCGGAUGUGAAAUCCCUCGGCUUAACCAAGGGAAGUGCAUCCGAAACUGCAGAGCUUGAGUACUUAAGAGGAUCGCGGAAUUCCCGGUGUAGAGGUGAAAUUCGUAGAUAUCGGGAGGAACACCAGUGGCGAAGGCGGCGAUCUGGGAAGAUACGUGACGCUGAGGUGCGAAAGCGUGGGGAGCAAACAGGG
rnacentral:rRNA from 1 species